rnacentral:lncRNA from 1 species
GUUUUGGCGUUGUAUGUGUGCCUGAUGGGGAUGUGUUGUUGUGUUGAAAACGUUGGCUUAUGUAAUUGAAAGUGUUGUGGUGCCGAACUGCAGUUGGUGCUGUAUUUGGACAUAAUAGUAUUGGGGUUUUUGCAGUAUAAUAGCAUGUAUUAAUUAGAAAGAAGAGGAAUCUUGAAUCCAGCCAUGAAGGAAGUAAGAGCGGAGGAAACGUUUAUAUUUUUAAAGGAAUGUAAAAUCAACAAAGUUCUACCAGCCUUGUUAUAUAGAAUGAAAUUACCAGUAAAAUCGAAAAAGCUUAUAUGGAGAAUAAAGCAAAUAUGCCUGAAGGCUGUAUUAAUGGAUGCGAAAAGAACCUUCUAUAAAAGAAAAAUACGUCUGGAGGAAUUAAGAUUAGAGUGCGAGCAAAACCAAGAAUGGAACUUUAUUGAUUUAAUGGAUAGAAGAAUGCAAUCCUUAAAAAUGGACCUGAGGAAAAAGCAUAUAAAAAAAGUUUAAAUGGGUUUUAAAUAUGCAAUUGCCAAAAAGGAGAAAAAAGGCAUUUGCUUUAGAGGAGGUUCUGAUGGUGGUUGGCGAUAUAAACAUACCGGAUUAUGCUAGGAGUGUUUUCGUUAAGGGUCCUUCGUAUGCCCUCCCUAAGUAUUAGAACCUUAGAGAAGAUAUCCCUAUAAUUGAAAGUUUAAUGGAAAAUUAUGAUGAUCUUGAAAUACAUAUGGCAAAAAGGUAAAAAUUCCAAUCAACAGGAAGAAUCUAGCAUGAGGCAUGAAUGGGAGGAGGUCAAGAGAACAAUAGAAUGGAUGGACCAGAAUGGAUAUGUGUUGAUGAGGAAAGAUAAAACAAAGAACAUGGUGUUGAUAAAGGCAGAGCAAUAUGAAGAUUUUCUUACUGAUUAUAUUAUCGAAUCUGGGACAGAAUUGUUGAAUAAAGAUCCAACAGAAA